rnacentral:rRNA from 1 species
CCUACGGGAGGCUGCAGGAGGGAAUAUUGCUCAAUGGGGGAAACCCUGAAGCAGCAACGCCGCGUGGAGGAUGAAGGUGUUCGGAUUGUAAACUCCUUUUGUUAGAGAAGAGAAGGACGGUAUCUAACGAAUAAGCACCGGCUAACUCCGUGCCAGCAGCCGCGGUAAUACGGAGGGGGCAAGCGUUCCUCGGAAUCACUGGGCGUAAAGAGCGCGUAGGCGGGAUAGCAAGUCAGAUGUGAAAUCCUAUGGCUUAACCAGGGAACUGCAUUUGAAACUGUUAUUCUAGAGUAUGGGAGCGGUAGGUGGCAUUCUUGUUGUAGUGGUCCACUCCGUAGAGAUCCAG